AAAGUCGUAACAAGGUUUCCGUAGGUGAACCUGCGGAAGGAUCAUUACAGAGUUCAUGCCCUUCGGGGUAGACCUCCCACCCUUUGUAUACCUUGCCUUUGUUGCUUUGGCGGGCCGCCUUUUGGCCACCGGCCCCGGCUGGUGCGCGCCCGCCAGAGAACCCCAAACCCUGUUUUACAGUGUCGUCCGAGUACUAUAUAAUAGUUAAAACUUUCAACAACGGAUCUCUUGGUUCUG
rnacentral:misc_RNA from 1 species